rnacentral:rRNA from 1 species
AAAGUCUGGCCUGCCCUAUGAAUAUAUUUUAAAUGGCCGCGGUAUUUUGACCGUGCAAAGGUAGCAUAAUAAUUAGUUUUUUAAUUGAGAACUGGUAUGAAAGGUUUGACGAGGGAGAGACUGUCUCAAUUUAAUUUAAAUUAGAAUUUUAUUUUUAAGUAAAAAAGCUUAAAUGAUUUUAAAAGACGAGAAGACCCUAUAGAAUUUUAUAUUUAUAUAUAUAUUUAAAAGUUUUAGUAUUUUAGAUUUAAAUAUAUGUAUACAUAUUUAGUUGGGGCAACUAAAAAAUUAAAGUAACUUUUUUUUUUAAAAAAACUUUGAUUUAUGAGUAAGGGAGCCC